rnacentral:rRNA from 1 species
GACGAACGCUGGCGGCGUGCCUAAUACAUGCAAGUUGAGCGAUGAAGAUUGGUGCUUGCACCAAUUUGAAGAGCAGCGAACGGGUGAGUAACGCGUGGGGAAUCUGCCUUUGAGCGGGGGACAACAUUUGGAAACGAAUGCUAAUACCGCAUAACACCUUUAAACAUAAGUUUUAAGUUUGAAAGAUGCAAUUGCAUCACUCAAAGAUGAUCCCGCGUUGUAUUAGCUAGUUGGUGAGGUAAAGGCUCACCAAGGCGAUGAUACAUAGCCGACCUGAGAUGGUAAGUAGCCGCACUGGGACUGAGACACGCCCCAAACUCCUACGGGAGGCAGCAGUAGGGAAUCGUCGGCAAGGGACGAAAGUCUUACCGAGCAACGCCGCGGGAGUGUAGAAGGAUGUCGGAUCGUAAAACUCGGUUGGUAGAGAAGAACGUUGGUGAGAGUGUAAAGCUCAUCAAGUGACGGUAACUACCCAGAAAGCGACGGCUAACUACGUG